AGAGUUUGAUCAUGGCUCAGAAUCAACGCUGGCGGCGCGCUUAACACAUGCAAGUCGAACGAGAAAGGGAGCAAUCCUGAGUAAAGUGGCGUACUGGUGAGUAACACGUGGAUAUCUACCUCUUGGUGGGGAAUAACCUGGGGAAACCUGGGCUAAUACCGCAUAAGUUCGUGAGAAGAAAGGCGCAAGCCGCCGAGAGAGGAGUCCGCGGUCGAUUAGGUAGUUGGCGGGGUAAGAGCCCACCAAGCCAAAGAUCGAUAGCCGGCCUGAGAGGGCACACGGCCACACUGGCACUGAAACACGGGCCAGACUCCUACGGGAGGCAGCAGUGGGGAAUCUUGCACAAUGGGGGAAACCCUGAUGCAGCGACGCCGCGUGAGCGAUGAAGCCCUUCGGGGUGUAAAGCUCUUUCGGCAGGAACGAUAAUGACGGUACCUGCAGAAGAAG
rnacentral:rRNA from 1 species